UACGUAGGGGGCAAGCGUUAUCCGGAUUUACUGGGUGUAAAGGGGGCGCAGACGGCGAUGCAAGCCAGGAGUGAAAGCCCGGGGCCCAACCCCGGGACUGCUCUUGGAACUGCGUGGCUGGAGUGCAGGAGGGGCAGGCGGAAUUCCUGGUGUAGCGGUGAAAUGCGUAGAUAUCAGGAGGAACACCGGUGGCGAAGGCGGCCUGCUGGACUGCAACUGACGUUGAGGCCCGAAAGCGUGGGGAGCGAACAGG
rnacentral:rRNA from 1 species